rnacentral:rRNA from 1 species
AUUCGCAGCCUAUCAGCUUGUUGGUGAGGUAAUGGCUCACCAAGGCGACGACGGGUAGCCGGCCUGAGAGGGCGACCGGCCACACUGGGACUGAGAUACGGCCCAGACUCCUACGGGAGGCAGCAGUGGGGAAUAUUGCGCAAUGGGCGAAAGCCUGAUGCAGCGACGCCGCGUGGGGGAUGAAGGCCUUCGGGUUGUAAACCCCUUUCAGCAGGGAAGAAGCGAAAGUGACGGUACCUGCAGAAGAAGCGCCGGCUAACUACGUGCCAGCAGCCGCGGUAAUACGUAGGGCGCAAGCGUUGUCCGGAAUUAUUGGGCGUAAAGAGCUCGUAGGCGGUUUGUCGCGUCUGCUGUGAAAUCCCGAGGCUCAACCUCGGGCUUGCAGUGGGUACGGGCAGACUAGAGUGUGGUAGGGGAGACUGGAAUUCCUGGUGUAGCGGUGGAAUGCGCAGAUAUCAGGAGGAACACCGAUGGCGAAGGCAGGUCUCUGGGCCACAACUGACGCUGAGGAGCGAAAGCAUGGGUAGCGAACAGGAUUAGAUACCCUGGUAGUCCAUGCCGUAAACGGUGGGCACUAGAUGUGGGGACUAUUCCAUGGUUUCCGCGUCGCAGCUAACGCAUUAAGUGCCCCGCC